UGACAAAAAAAGUUGUGCUGCUUCCUGGACAUGAUAAAAAUGUGGCUUUUCCUCUGUUACAUGGCUGCUGAUUUACCUCAUAUGAACUUUGCAGCAUGCCUCUCUUCAACAUUGUGGAGUUCAGAGAGGAAGUGACAAAUGAAGGAAGGGCUCUAAUGGAUAUCAUCCCAUCGUGUUGGUUUACUGAUGAGGACAAGACUGAGUGUUUUUGGCCAGUAGGCCUCAAACUUAAUAUCACCAAGGCAGUUAAACAGUGCCUAAGACCAGAUGAGUCAUGGAGGACAUGCACUGUGCGUGUACUUGGAGAUGCAAACACAUGAAGAUGCUCGACGCAAGCUUGCAUGAGCAGAGGCUACAUCUGAUUUUCAAACAGACAACGAUAUUCCACAGAAGAGACAAAGAAGGCAAGUCCAGGCCCUUGAAACGAGUGAAGAGGACUCUGACACAUGUUGCGAUGAUGAGCUGCCACCUUCUCC